AACUAUGACUCUCUUAAGGUAGCCAAAUGCCUCGUCAUCUAAUUAGUGACGCCCAUGAAUGGAUUAACGAGAUUUCCACUGUCCCUGUCUACUAUCCAGCGAAACCAUAGCCAAGGGAACGGGCUUGGCAGAAUCAGCGGAGAAAGAAAACCCUGUUGAGCUUGACUCUAGUCCGACUUUGUGAAAUGAAUUGAGAGGUGUAGGAUAAGUGGGAGCUCUCGGG
rfam:Gossypium arboreum cultivar AKA8401 contig_322365_1, whole genome shotgun sequence.